rnacentral:rRNA from 2 species
GCCUAAUACAUGCAAGUCGAACGAACUCUGGUAUUGAUUGGUGCUUGCAUCAUGAUUUACAUUUGAGUGAGUGGCGAACUGGUGAGUAACACGUGGGAAACCUGCCCAGAAGCGGGGGAUAACACCUGGAAACAGAUGCUAAUACCGCAUAACAACUUGGACCGCAUGGUCCGAGUUUGAAAGAUGGCUUCGGCUAUCACUUUUGGAUGGUCCCGCGGCGUAUUAGCUAGAUGGUGGGGUAACGGCUCACCAUGGCAAUGAUACGUAGCCGACCUGAGAGGGUAAUCGGCCACAUUGGGACUGAGACACGGCCCAAACUCCUACGGGAGGCAGCAGUAGGGAAUCUUCCACAAUGGACGAAAGUCUGAUGGAGCAACGCCGCGUGAGUGAAGAAGGGUUUCGGCUCGUAAAACUCUGUUGUUAAAGAAGAACAUAUCUGAGAGUAACUGUUCAGGUAUUGACGGUAUUUAACCAGAAAGCCACGGCUAACUACGUGCCAGCAGCCGCGGUAAUACGUAGGUGGCAAGCGUUGUCCGGAUUUAUUGGGCGUAAAGCGAGCGCAGGCGGUUUUUUAAGUCUGAUGUGAAAGCCUUCGGCUCAACCGAAGAAGUGCAUCGGAAACUGGGAAACUUGAGUGCAGAAGAGGACAGUGGAACUCCAUGUGUAGCGGUGAAAUGCGUAGAUAUAUGGAAGAACACCAGUGGCGAAGGCGGCUGUCUGGUCUGUAACUGACGCUGAGGCUCGAAAGUAUGGGUAGCAAACAGGAUUAGAUACCCUGGUAGUCCAUACCGUAAACGAUGAAUGCUAAGUGUUGGAGGGUUUCCGCCCUUCAGUGCUGCAGCUAACGCAUUAAGCAUUCCGCCUGGGGAGUACGGCCGCAAGGCUGAAACUCAAAGGAAUUGACGGGGGCCCGCACAAGCGGUGGAGCAUGUGGUUUAAUUCGAAGCUACGCGAAGAACCUUACCAGGUCUUGACAUACUAUGCAAAUCUAAGAGAUUAGACGUUCCCUUCGGGGACAUGGAUACAGGUGGUGCAUGGUUGUCGUCAGCUCGUGUCGUGAGAUGUUGGGUUAAGUCCCGCAACGAGCGCAACCCUUAUUAUCAGUUGCCAGCAUUAAGUUGGGCACUCUGGUGAGACUGCCGGUGACAAACCGGAGGAAGGUGGGGAUGACGUCAAAUCAUCAUGCCCCUUAUGACCUGGGCUACACACGUGCUACAAUGGAUGGUACAACGAGUUGCGAACUCGCGAGAGUAAGCUAAUCUCUUAAAGCCAUUCUCAGUUCGGAUUGUAGGCUGCAACUCGCCUACAUGAAGUCGGAAUCGCUAGUAAUCGCGGAUCAGCAUGCCGCGGUGAAUACGUUCCCGGGCCUUGUACACACCGCCCGUCACACCAUGAGAGUUUGUAACACCCAAAGUCGGUGGGGUAACCUUUUAGGAACCAGCCGCCUAAGG